rnacentral:rRNA from 1 species
CCUACGGGAGACAGCAGUAGGGAAUUUUUCACAAUGGGCGAAAGCCUGAUGGAGCAAUGCCGCGUGAAUGAUGAAGGUCUUAUAGAUUGUAAAAUUCUUUUAUUUGGGAAGAAAAACUAAAGUAGGAAAUGACUUUAGUCUGACUGUACCAUUUGAAUAAGUAUCGGCUAACUAUGUGCCAGUAGCCGCGGUAAUACAUAGGAUGCAAGCGUUAUCUGGAUUUACUGGGCGAAAAACGAGCGCAGGCGGGUUAACAAGUUUGGUAUGAAAGGCGUUUGCUUAACGAAAGUUUGUAUCAAAAACUGUUAGGCUAGAGUGCAGUAGAGAGUAGUGGAAUUCCAAGUGGAGCGGUGGAAUGCGUAGAUAUAUGGAAGAACACCAGUGGCGAAGGCGAGAACUUAGGCUAUCACUGACGCUGAGGCUCGAAAGUGUGGGGAGCAAACAGGAUUAGAUACCCUUGUAGUC